GCCAGCCUUAGCAUGCUGGCUUGUUGCCUCUUGGUUUUAAAAUGGUUGCUGUAACUACAGUGGGUUUCUAAUAGACUUAAAUGAAAGGGCACCGCUUGAUUCAAGGAAUUGAGAAGCAAGAUGUGUCUUCAAGCAUGGCUAGAUCCAGAAGGAAUUCCACCCAAGCUGAUUCAUUUAAAACACAGAUAACUCGUCAGAAGAUAGGUGUUACAAAGACUUUCAAGCCCAAGGAACUGCUGAAGAGACUGCAUCGAAGAUCCAGCAUCCAUAGUGUACUUCAUGGAAUCCAGACUGCGCCAACUGACAGCAAUAGAGAGGCCUCAGGAGAAGCUAAGGAUUUGCUAACUGUGAAGAAAAAGAUUAUGUGUUUCACAACACUGCAAGCCUCGAAACCACAGAAGCAGUGAGCAAGCUAACAUUUAUUCUAAAGAUAAACAUGAAAUCCAGACAUUUUUGACAGCCUCUAUUCGCCAUGACAAAGUGUGAUAGAAUCGCCAUGAUUUCUACCUAUCGACCUUACCUAGCUAAUGAUCUUCUCCCCUGAAGAUACAACUUGCUGACUGGGCAUUGAUGUCACAGAAGAUGAGAUUAUGUUUGCCUGCCUCUGUGUGUGUGUUUGUGUGUGUGUGUGUGUUUGUGUAUGUGUGUGUGUGUGUGCAUGUGCUAUAAGGUAGAAAAGGAGGAUGAUAGAAAACUUAUAGGGACUCUCUCUCUCUCUCUCUCCAUCCCUCCCUCCCUUUCUCUCUCUCUUUCUUGUCUGAUGGCCUAUAUCAAAGUCAACUCCACAUUUUUGGGUAUAAGCUACUAAGGAGGCAUAAGUUAGAUAUUGUCAUCACUAACCUAUUUAAAGCAAAUUUUGUGUCAAUUGAGGGCUUUUUUAAAUUUUAUUUUUUAAUUUUUUGCUGAAAACAACAUUGGUUAACUAUUUUAUACUUAAUUAUGUUUAAACUUAUCCAUUAUCCUUCAGGCAGAAAGGAAAGCUUUUUUAAAAGGAAAAAGAUCCUUGAAACCUUAAGAAAUGGAACCAGAAUUUUAGACAUGCAUGUGAAAUCACUAAUGUAAAGAAUCCUUCCCUGGAGAGGGAGACUAAUUCUUUGUUACAGCCCUCAAUAGGUUUUAUUUUGGAAAUGCCUAGGAUGGUCCAUA